UAGGGAAUCUUCGGCAAUGGGGGCAACCCUGACCGAGCAACGCCGCGUGAGUGAAGAAGGUUUUCGGAUCGUAAAGCUCUGUUGUAAGAGAAGAACGUGUGUGAGAGUGGAAAGUUCACACAGUGACGGUAACUUACCAGAAAGGGACGGCUAACUACGUGCCAGCAGCCGCGGUAAUACGUAGGUCCCGAGCGUUGUCCGGAUUUAUUGGGCGUAAAGCGAGCGCAGGCGGUUUAAUAAGUCUGAAGUUAAAGGCAAUGGCUUAACCAUUGUUCGCUUUGGAAACUGUUAAACUUGAGUGCAGAAGGGGAGAGUGGAAUUCCAUGUGUGGCGGUGAAAUGCGUAGAUAUAUGGAGGAACACCGGUGGCGAAAGCGGCUCUCUGGUCUGUAACUGACGCUGAGGCUCGAAAGCGUGGGGAGCAAACAGG
rnacentral:rRNA from 1 species